rnacentral:rRNA from 1 species
UCCUAGCCUUUUAAUUGGAGGCCUGCAUGAAUGGCUUGACGAGCGCCCUGCUGUCUCUCUUCCCAUGAACUUUUAAAUUAACUUUCGCGUGCAAAGGCGCGAAUGGCUGAGUUAGACGAAAAGACCCUAUGCAUCUUUACUGAGAGAGAAGAAAGUUCUUUAGCUUGGUUUAGCUGGGGCAGCUGAGGAAAAGGCAAAAUUUCCUUAAUAUAAAUCAUACUGGUGGGUUUAGAUCCAGGCUCUUUAGCGGGCUUGACAAGUAGAAAAGUUACGCUAGGGAUAACAGCGUUAUCCUUCUGUGGAGGUCUUAUCUGCAGGAGGGAUUGCGACCUCGAUGUUGAAUUAGGGAUAUACCAGAAAGGCGCAGAAGCUUUUAUUGUGGGUCUGU